rnacentral:rRNA from 1 species
ACCAAGGCGACGAUGGGUAGCCGGCCUGAGAGGGUGACCGGCCACACUGGGACUGAGAUACGGCCCAGACUCCUACGGGAGGCAGCAGUCGAGAAGCUUCGGCAAUGGGCGAAAGCCUGACCGAGCGACGCCGCGUGAGCGAAGAAGGCCCUAUGGGUUGUAAAGCUCUGUCAGAUUGGGAAGAAAACCUUACGGUUAAUACCCGUGAGGCUUGACGGUACCUUCAGAGGAAGCACCGGCUAACUCCGUGCCAGCAGCCGCGGUAAUACGGAGGGUGCAAGCGUUGUUCGGAUUCACUGGGUAUAAAGGGUGCGCAGGCGGCCUGAUAAGUCAGGGGUGAAAUAUGACGGCUCAACCGUCAAACUGCCCCUGAAACUGCCAGGCUUGAGUCCGGGAGAGGUAGGUGGAAUUCCAGGUGUAGCGGUGAAAUGCGUAAAUAUCUGGAGGAACACCGGUGGCGAAGGCGGCCUACUGGCCCGGAACUGACGCUCAGGCACGAAAGCUAGGGGAGCGAACGGGAUUAGAUACCCCGGUAGUCCUAGCCGUAAACGAUGGGCACUAGGUGUUGGAGGAGUCUACCCCUUCAGUGCCGCAGCUAACGCAUUAAGUGCCCCACCUGGGGAGUACGAUCGCAAGGUUGAAACUCAAAGGAAUUGACGGGGGCCCUCACAAGCGGUGGAGCAUGUGGUUUAAUUCGAUGCAACGCGAAGAACCUUACCUGGACUUGACAUGCAGGGGACAGGUGUAGAAAUACACCCUUCUUCGGACCCUUGUACAGGUGCUGCAUGGCUGUCGUCAGCUCGUGUCGUGAAAUGUUGGGUUAAGUCCCGCAACGAGCGCAACCCCUGUUUUCAGUUGCCAUCAGGUUAUGCUGGGGACUCUGGAGAGACUGCCGGUGACAAACCGGAGGAAGGUGGGGACGACGUCAAGUCAUCAUGGCCCUUACGUCCAGGGCUACACACGUGCUACAAUGGCUGGUACAAAGGGCUGCAAUACUGCGAAGUGGAGCGAAUCCCAAAAAGCCAGCCUCAGUUCGGAUUGGAGUCUGCAACUCGACUCCAUGAAGUUGGAAUCGCUAGUAAUCGCGUAUCAGAACGACGCGGUGAAUACGUUCCCGGGCCUUGUACACACCGCCCGUCAAGUCAACCGAGUUGGCUGCACCCCAAGUCGCUGAGCUAACCCGUAAGGGAGGCAGGUGCCCAAGGUGUGGUUGAUAAGGGGGACUAAGUCGGAACAAGGUA